rnacentral:rRNA from 1 species
UAGUCUGGUGCCAGCAGCCGCGGUAAUUCCAGCUCCAAUAGCGUAUAUUAAAGUUGUUGCAGUUAAAACGCUCGUAGUCGGAUUUCGGGGCAGGUUUGCCGGUCUGCCGAUGGGUAUGCACUGGUAGAAGUGUCCUUCCUUCCGGAGACGGCGCCUACUCUUAACUGAGCGGGUGUCGGAGACGGAUCGUUUACUUUGAAAAAAUCAGAGUGUUUCAAGCAGGCAGCUCGCUUUUGCAUGGAUUAGCAUGGGAUAAUGAAAUAGGACUUUGGUGCUAUUUUGUUGGUUUCGAACACCGAAGUAAUGAUUAACAGGGACAGUCAGGGGCACUCGUAUUCCGCCGAGAGAGGUGAAAUUCUUAGACCAGCGGAAGACGAACCACUGCGAAAGCAUUUGCCAGGGAUGUUUUCACUGAUCAAGAACGAAAGUUAGGGGAUCGAAGACGAUCAGAUACCGUCGUAGUCUUAACCAUAAACCAUGCCGACUAGGGAUUGGAGGAUGUUCCUAUGUGACUCCUUCAGCACCUUUCGGGAAACUAAAGUCUUUGGGUUCCGGGGGGAGUAUGGUCGCAAGGCUGAAACUUAAAGGAAUUGACGGAAGGGCAUCACCAGGAGUGGAGCCUGCGGCUUAAUUUGACUCAACACGGGGAAACUUACCAGGUCCAGACAUUGUGAGGAUUGACAGAUUGAGAGCUCUUUCUUGAUUCGAUGGGUGGUGGUGCAUGGCCGUUCUU